UACGUAGGCAGCGAGCGUUGUUCGGCGUUACUGGGCGUAAAGAGUGCGUAGGCGGUUUUCUAAGUUUGGUGUGAAAUCUCCCGGCUUAACUGGGAGGGUGCGCCGAAAACUGGAAGGCUUGAGUAUGGGAGAGGUAAGCGGAAUUCCUGGUGUAGCGGUGAAAUGCGUAGAUAUCAGGAGGAACACCUGCGGUGUAGACGGCUUACUGGACCAUAACUGACGCUGAGGCACGAAAGCGUGGGUAGCAAACAGG
rnacentral:rRNA from 1 species